GUGUUUGUGUCAUGAAGCUGUUGUGUGAUGGUCAACAUCUAAAUGCUCCUGUAACACACUAGGCUGUGACAGCGAGCGUACACAGAUGGCAUCUCCGAUUACUGAGCUGGAGGCGGUGAUAAUCAUGUUCUCCCUCCUGGUUUUUGCCCUCUUCACACUUACUGGGAUGCUCAAUGAGGAAUGUGCACACUGGAAUGAGACUAAGACACGACCACAAAGUGAGGAGCUGAUUGUGUGACUCCAGACAAGAGCCAUGGCAAAGAAUGAAAACCUUUUGUGCGAAACAUUCCUGUUUGGUGU